rnacentral:rRNA from 1 species
AUUGCAGGCUGCAACUCGCCUGCAUGAAGUCGGAAUUGCUAGUAAUCGCGGAUCAGCAUGCCGCGGUGAAUACGUUCCCGGGCCUUGUACACACCGCCCGUCACACCAUGAGAGCCGGGGGGACCCGAAGUCCGUAGCUUAACCGCAAGGAGGGCGCGGCCGAAGGUAAAACUGGUGAUUGGGGUGAAGUCGUAACAAGGUAUC